rnacentral:rRNA from 1 species
GACGUAGGGCGCGAGCGUUGUCCGGAUUUAUUGGGCGUAAAGAGCUCGUAGGCGGCUUGUUGCGUCGUCCGUGAAAACCUGUGGCUCAACUACAGGCUUGCGGACGGAUACGGGCGGGCUGGAGUUCGGUAGGGGAGACUGGAAUUCCUGGAUGUAGCGGUGAAAUGACGCAGACUAUCAGGGAGGAACACCGGUGGGCGAAGGCGGGGUCUCUGGGCAUCUCCUGAC